CUUCCGUAGGGGGAAC
rnacentral:rRNA from 1 species